ACAUACAUACAUACAUACAUACAUACAUACAUACAUACAUACAUACAUGCAUGCAUACAUACGAUCAGGUUCCGUUUACCAAAUCCACCCAUAAGUACUAGGAUAUAGUAGAAGGUGCCGCGUAGCGAGACUGAACUCAAACCGCGUGGCUGUAAAGCGAGUUUCUUUACCAGACAGCCAUACCUAUGCUCGACAACUUGAACAUAUAGUAUUAACUUUACACAAACACGACAAUUUUUCAAUUGUUAUUAAGGAUUUAAUGUUCACUGAGAUGAAUUCUCGCCGGGGUCAGCAUUGUUGCCUUUCAUUCUUCCAUGGUCGAUAAAACAAGUACUGGGGUCAUUGAUAUCGACUAACCUUCCUUCCUUCAAAAUUGCUGGCCUUGUGCCAAAUUCAGAGACCGUUAUUUAUUUAAUACUAUGUUAUAUAUUUGAGGGUUCAUCCUGUCCCUCUGAAUCUGGUAAAUGGAAAAAAAAAAAAAAAAACUUGAAACUUGUUACUUUAAAAAUGAAAGAAAACGAAAAGAAAAAAGCGGAUUGAAUUUUGAGCAUGAGGCUUUCUUCAUUAUCUGCAUCUCAAAUAAAUGAAUAAAUAAAUAAAUGAAUAAAUAAAUAAACGAAGUAAAAUGAAUUUCGAAUUAUGCCAUAAAAGAAACUAUUGUACAAACUAUAUCACUAUACCAUACUCAAAACGUAAAGGCGGUGAGCUGGCAGAAACGUUAGCGCGCCGGGCGAAAUGCUUAGCGGCAUUUCGUUCGUCUUUACGUUCUGAGUUCAAAUUCCGCCGAGGUCCGACUUUGCCCCCACCCACCAAAAUUUCGGACCUUGUGCCUAGAGUGAAAAAAAGAAAGAAAAAAAAGUGAUCGCGGCAGAUACAUAUUUUGUUGGUAAAGAAAAGCUUGUAAAAUAGCAAGAAACAAUAAAAUAGCUUAUCAUUAGAAAGUAUGAAAAAAUGGCUAAUAUUUCUUUCCUUCAAACUUUGCCUUUGUUUCAUUUAUUAAAAACCCCGCAAAAUCCCUUUCAACACAUGGUUAUGAUGCCCACCAUCCUAUCCCUUCUGCUCAUGAUUAGAGAUGCACAUACUCUGCUCAUUCCUCCCUCAAAUGUAAUGUGUUGAGUUUGCUGAGCAAAAAACGUGAAGGGGUUAACACAAUUUCAAUCAAAUAUGAAAGGUGAAAUUUCUAACUUCUGUCAUUAUUUUUCAGAGAUAUGUUAUGUAUAUUUUUACAAAACGAUAUAAAAUGUAUUUCUUCAUGAU